rnacentral:rRNA from 1 species
UCCUACGGGAGGCAGCAGUAGGGAAUAUUGGACAAUGGGCGAAAGCCUGAUCCAGCCAUGCCGCGUGUGUGAAGAAGGUCUUCGGAUUGUAAAGCACUUUAAGUUGGGAGGAAGGGUUGUAGAUUAAUACUCUGCAAUUUUGACGUUACCGACAGAAUAAGCACCGGCUAACUCUGUGCCAGCAGCCGCGGUAAUA